AGGACACCUCGUGUAUGAAUUCUUCAUGGGGGCAGAACCGGGGUCCCCGCUGGAGCCCCCCGAGAGUCUGCACUGGGAGCGGGUCGGGCUCUGCGCCUGGCCCUGGGGCUGUGGAUCUUCCACGGUGCCACCACCCAGAGGAGCCUCUUCAGCCAUGACCCCCGAGACCCUCGAGUGGCCGGUCUCCCCACAGUCCCCACGGCCACAGGGCAGGUGCUGCUGGCAGGGGGCUGGUGGGGGCUCGUGCGACGCCCCGAUGACCUCGGGGAGCUGCUGAUGGCCUUGGGCUGGACCCUCCCCUGCGGUGAGACCCCACCUCACCCUGCUGGGGCACCCCUCCUUGGCUGGGACCCCUCCAAAACCCUGUGUCCCUCCUGAGCCCUCCCAGACACCCGAGCCCCUCCAAACCCUCGCAGACACCCUGAACACCCCAAAAUACCUCCCCCCACCCUGCAGCCCCCCGACAUUGGGACCUCCC
rnacentral:lncRNA from 1 species